UUCUUUAGACGUUGUCCUGGGGUCUUUUGUGACCUCUCGGAUGAGUCGUCUCUGCGCUCUUGGGGUAAUUUUGGUCGGCCGGCCACUCCUGGGAAGGUUCACCACUGUUCCAUGUUUUUGCCAUUUGUGGAUAAUGGCUCUCACUGUGGUUCGCUGGAGUCCCAAAGCUUUAGAAAUGGCUUUAUAACCUUUACCAGACUGAUAGAUCUCAAUUACUUCUGUUCUCAUUUGUUCCUGAAUUCUUUGGAUCUUGGCAUGAUGUCUAUCUUUUGAGGUGCUUUUGGUCUACUUCUCUGUGUCAGGCAGCUCCUAUUUAAGUGAUUUCUUGAUUGAAACAGGUGUGGCAGUAAUCAGGCCUGGGGGUGGCUACGGAAAUUGAACUCAGGUGUGAUACACCACAGUUAGGUUAUUUUUAACAAGGGGGCAAUUACUUUUUCACACAGGGCCAUGUAGGUUUGGAUUUUUUUUUCUCCCUAAAUAAUAAAAACCAUCAUUUAAAAACUG